CCUACGGGUGGCAGCAGUGGGGAGUAUUGGACAAUGGGCGAAAGCCUGAUCCAGCCAUGCCGCGUGUGUUAAGAAGGCCUUCGGGUGGUAAAGCACUUUCAGUGGGGAAGAAAGCCUUGGGGCUAAUACCCUCGAGGAAGGACAUCACCCACAGAAGAAGCACCGGCUAACUCCGUGCCAGCAGCCGCGGUAAUACGGAGGGUGCGAGCGUUAAUCGGAAUUACUGGGCGUAAAGCGCGCGUAGGCGGUCUGAUAAGCCGGUUGUGAAAGCCCCGGGCUCAACCUGGGAACGGCAUCCGGAACUGUCAGGCUAGAGUGCAGGAGAGGAAGGUAGAAUUCCCGGUGUAGCGGUGAAAUGCGUAGAGAUCGGGAGGAAUACCAGUGGCGAAGGCGGCCUUCUGGACUGACACUGACGCUGAGGUGCGAAAGCGUGGGUAGCAAACAGGAUUAGAUACCCCAGUAGUC
rnacentral:rRNA from 1 species